CGUAGGGAGCAAGCGUUGUCCGGAAUCAUUGGGCGUAAAGCGCGCGUAGGCGGCCCUGUAAGUCCGCUCUGAAAGUCAAAGGCUCAACCUUUGAAAGCGGGUGGAUACUGCAGGGCUAGAGUCCGGAAGAGGCGAGUGGAAUUCCUGGUGUAGCGGUGGAAUGCGCAGAUAUCAGGAGGAACACCAACGGCGAAGGCAGCUCGCUGGGACGGUACUGACGCUGAGGCGCGAAAGCGUGGGGAGCAAACAGGAUUAGAUACCCUGGUAGUCCACGCCGUAAACGAUGGGCAUUAGGUGUGGGAGGUGUCGACUCCUCCCGUGCCGGCGCUAACGCAUUAAAUGCCCCGCCUGGGGAGUACGGCCGCAAGGCUA
rnacentral:rRNA from 1 species